UGGGAUCAAAACCACGGCACAGUGAAUUCCUCAUAGCAUCUUCUUUGGGAUUACUCAGGAACCAGAACUUUUCACACAGAUGUAAGCAAUUCUGCCAAGAAAUUCCUUGCUUAACAGCAUCUCACAAGGCUCCAGUCAGAUUCCAGAAAAGGCCUCUCUUAACACAUCAAGAUAAAACCUA
rnacentral:lncRNA from 1 species